rnacentral:rRNA from 1 species
GACAGAGGGGGCAAGCGUUGCUCGGAAUCACUAGGCGUAAAGCGCAGGUAGGAGGUUCGAUAAGUCUGUUGUGAAAGCUCCCGGCUUUAACUGGGAGAGGUCAACGGAAACUGUCGAGCUAGAGUGUGGUAGAGGUAGCUGGAAUUCCCGGAUGUAGCGGUGAAAUGCGCAGAUAUCAGGAGGAACACCUAGUUGCGAAGGCAGCUCGCUGGGACGUAACUGACGCUGGAGAACGCGAAAGCGUCGGGGAGCAAACAGG